AAUAUAAUUCCAUGAGUAUUCUAAGAACGACUUCUUUAUGUUUCAAACACUCGCGACUACAAAAAUAAAAGGGUAUCGGGUGCGGUUAAACAGUCGGCCCCGUAUGCGUUUGUAUAAUAUCACGCACCGGAACCGUUUACGAGAGCGGAUUGGUUUGCGGGGUGUGCCUUAAAAAAGGUUGUAAAAUAUAAAUUGCGUAUCGUCCGCGGGCGAACAAAAAAAUGUUCACUUGUUAUUUUGAUUGCAAAUGACCGCAGAACGCAUAAUAAGACGUCCUGCAGCGGCGCGAGCGUGUUAAAAAAAAUACAAAGUGUGCAAAAAAAAAAAAUUGGAACAAAAAUGUGUCGAAAUAUUUGCUACCGGAUUUUUAUUUUUUUUUGUUAUAAAACCGAUUUCACGCUACUCAAGGUCUAACGUGCACUACUGUUUGGAUAGUCGGACGAGUCUCCCGGGCAGCGGCGGCGGCGGCCGUGGAGCGAACAGAAUCGAAAUGCAGGCAUUGUCAACGGGUCCCGAGGUUAGGGGUACGUAUGCAAGACCUACCUUUAAUACCUACGCACACACACGUACAUACAUAUAUAUAUAUAACAUAACCUACACAUAAAUGUGCAUACGUGUGCAGCCCGAGUUUGCAAUGUAGGCACAGCGCGUAUAUUAUAUGCUGCUGCAGGCACCGCGUGCAGUGGCAAUGAUGGCGGUGUCCCCGGGUGAGGCCUAUUGUGAGGACGAUACAGUAUUAUAUUAUUAUAUACCUGAGGGUGUCCAAAAGACAAACAAAGGGGAUGCCGAAAACGAGUUUCACCUUUGGAAACUUUCACUUUACGUUAUUUAUUGCCCCGCGUGCGUGCGUCCGCGUGUAUUAUUGUACACGGGCACAAUAAUGCCGAUGACAGUGCACGUACCCACACGUGUAAAAUAUGUGUAUGGUACCUAGGCCCCGAGUCAAAAUUCGUCGCAUUUCGUCGAACGCGUCCGCGCUGGAAUCAUCACCGUCGUCCAACUCCACCGUCGCCGCCGCCGCCAAACAUCAUAUUUUACAAUGUGCCCCUUUGAUUCAAUUUGUGAGUGAAUUUGAUGGAUCGCUACGGGUUUUCAGUGCAUAAUACUGCAUGGCGGUCAUUAUUCCGUACCUAUACUCAGUAUUACUGUACUUGCUGUACCUACUCGGUUUCAGUAGCCACGCAGUUCGUUAUGGAGCUUAAUGUUAGUCGCUAUAAUAGAUUUGUCGAGUGAACGCGUUCGAGAAUCCUGCAGAACACCGAAUACGUCAUGAUAAUAUGAAUAACAAUAUAAUAAUAGUAUCGUGGUUCGUCGUUUAUCUAUAACUGGUGCACAGCCGCCGCAGAGGUCGUUUAUUUAUAGUUUUUGAUGACUGACUACUUUGUUAAAUUCAUUUUUUUUUAAUCGUAUAAAUUGUUACGCUCCCGACAUAUUUGCAUAAAACAAUGGAAUUAUUAAAACUAUAUUCAAACGUAGCUGUGAACAUUAUACACAUUUAAGCGUAGGGUCAUCUCGCGGAUACACGACGACGACGACUACGUUUUUUACUCGCGGAUCUUUUCCGUCCUGCGUGCGCUCUCGAAACGUGUAUAUACUUGUAUGUAUUAAACGCGUGUCCAUAUAGGUACAUAUAUAAUAUAUAUAUAUGUACAUUUAAUUUUUUUCAAAACAUCGGCCGUGUUAUAUAUUUAUAUAUAUAUAUACCUACGUAUAUGCUUAUAAUAUCAUACAGAACGUACCUGCAGCAGCCUACGCACCGCAUACGACUUGGGAGAAUACUGCAGCUCAGAUUACAAUCGCGCGGGUAAUCAGCAAUCGCGCACUAUAACUGUGUUGCUAAUAAUAUAUUAUAUUGUGUAUGUACUACAUAGGUACACUCAUUUAUUGUAGUUCACGCGUGUAAUUUUUUUUUAACGUCUAAUUAGCGAUUGCAUUUUUUUUUUCAGGCCAAACACUCCACGCGUUGGGUUUAUAAACGAACAUACCCGACAACAUCAACUGGACUAAACGAUAAUAAUUAUAUGAAAUACGAUAUCGGAUAUGCACGCGCGAAUCAAAAAAAAAUAAUAUAAUAUAUUGCAUUAUACCUAUUAUGCCUAUGUGUACCCACUUUAAUUUACACCAACCGCUUUGUUGUACCGCUUACAUCAACAUUAAUAUAUUAUAUAAAUUUACAUUUGUAUAUUGAGUAGAAUAAUUUAUAAUACACAUCUAUCCAUAUUAUGUCUAAUUAAAAUGUAUUUUUUUACAUAAUUAGUGUAUGUAUAAGAUUAUAAGAACGUUGUGUAUUUAUACACGUAUAUUGUAUGUAUGCUGAACGAGCAAUAAUUGAAUACAUCAUCAUAGGUACUAUAGUGUGGUUAAAUUAAUUAUUUUCCGAUUUGCCGUUGAAAGGAAAUCGAGCAAUCAGUUGUUUAUGCAUGAAUAAGUAUAUAUUAUACCUAUACCGAAAGCCGGGUUAUGUAUACUAUAUUAUAAUCAUCAAUCAAUAUGUUUUAACUCGCCGAAUAUGUAUAAUGUAUAUCUACCGUAGAGUAAAUUAUCAAUUUAUAUACUUGUAUUAUAGUUUAAUGAAUUUAUAAUAAACAUCAUCAUAAUCGCAUAUAAAGAUUAAAAACACACAAAAAAUUUAAACUGUAUAAAUUAUAAUAUUUGAUCGAUGUAAGUAUAAUGGAUGUUUAUAAUAUAUUAUAUGUAUAACUCAAAAAUUUAUAUUAUAGGCUAGGUAUACCUAAUAUAUAAAUUAUAUAGGUAAACGUAAUCUAUACAUUAUUUAAUAAUAUUGUGGGCUAUUUCUUGAAUAAUUAUGUUUGAUAUAAAUGUAUGAUUAAUUAAGUGUCGAGAGGUAUAAAAUAUCUGAGAGAAAUGUAUAACAAUUUAUUUUUUUUUAAUUGUAUUUAGUUUUAAUAUUUUAAUGUCAUCUUGCACCAGUCAAUCGGAACUUUUAUCGCACAUUUUUAUAAAUAUUUAAAAAAAUUAUUGUAACAAAUUUACAGUAUUGUACCUACUUUAUAAAAUUCUCUAUGUAUUCUGGAACCUAUAGAGUUACUAUAAUAUUACCUAUAAUAUAUUACAUUAUGACCAAUAAUUAAUAUUAAAAGUUAUGGAAUUUGUAUUCGGAAUUAAUAGGAUAAUACUAGCUGGAAUAUGUAAUUAAAUUAUUUUAUAAAUAGUCAGAAAAUUAUCUAUCAAAAUAUCUGAAGCUACGAUUUUGCCACUAUCUCAGACGAAUAUUGAAGUGCAUAAAAAAACUAAAUCGCCACAGGACAUCUUUGGAGCGGCGUUAGAGUGCGGACGUCAUAGUCUAAUAAUAAUUAUUGUA